GGUGUCUCUACAGUCCUAGCCAUGAAGAGAGAGGAUGAAACAUCCUGGAACAGCACAGGGAAGAGGCUGGAGCUGGGCUGCUGUCUCCACAGCUGUAGAACUACGGGAGACUGGUGCCAAAGGCUAAUGCAGGCAAAAUCCUCUCACCUCUGGCUGUGAUUUCCCAUAUCUGUGACGUUCAGGAGCCGUGGCAGUGCAUGGAGCAGAGGGGGAC
rnacentral:lncRNA from 1 species